rnacentral:lncRNA from 1 species
GAUAAAGCUGAGGCUCAGGAGGGUGAGAUGGUUGGGAAGGAGCCUGAGGUAGAGAAGAAAAGAGAACGGGAGCCGGAGUUUGAAAAACAGAAGGAGAAGAAGCAUACAACUUUGAAGGAGAAAGAGAUGGAGAAUACUGCGUACAAGGACUUCGAAACUGCUAUCAAUAAGAGAGAGAUACAGAAACAGGAAGAGGUGAAGCGUUUAAAGAGGGAGGCUGCUAAGGUAGAGAGAAAGCACAUAGAAAAAAUAAGAAGAGGAGGCCCGGGAGUGCGCAAAGCGUCAAGCUGCAAGGAGAGAAGCUACUAGACUGAGAAUGAGCCAAGAGAAGGUACUUCCUCUUGACAGAUCUGAGAAAGGACCUGAUGCUACACAUGCUACAAGAGUCAGCAGAAGUUAUUUGAUUCUUUGUCGAUGCUAGAUAAAUUCUCUGGAUAAGUUCUUUGAAACAGCAUAAACAUAUACACAUUACAUUUAUACAUGGAUGAAUUAGAAAACCUGUUUUAUGUAAUGUGUCUCAGAACAUUUGUGAAAAUAUAAUGAUCAGGUUUGAAACAGUUAAAUACGUACCAAAUGUUUUCAUUACAAGCAGAUCGAGAAAUUCAGCCGUUUCGUUUGCUCAUCCGCCAUGUUCGUGUUGCAUGCUUCUUCAUGACUCUUGAUUUACCAAGCUCGCAUUCAAGUUUUUACGUUACUAUAAUACCUUGUUCUACCACACAUGGCAUGCUUAGCUUUUAAAAAUUUAACUUACGAGUUUCUUGACAUCUACCUUAUUAAACAUGAUACCUAUUAAAAUUAGGGGUGUUUAAUUUGGUAUAACAGAACCAAUUAAAACCAAACUGAAAAGAAAAAGUAGUUUAGAUAUGGUAUAGUGAAUAAUAUAAGAAUCCCUAUAGUUUAGUAUAUAAACCGAUCAAGUCGAAUAAACUAAAUAAACAUAUUAAUUAAAAUAUAGUAGUAUAACUACAUGUUAAAUUAUAUAAUUUAAUUAAUAAUAUAUACAUAAUUUAUUUUAUUGCUAUGAUCUUCCUCUUUAAAAUGUUGAUUUUAGUAAUUUUAUAUUUUAUGUAAAAAAUUAUUUUUUUCAUUUUUAUCAAAUUAAAUAAAACGUAGCUUUUACUUUUUUUGUUGACAUAUAUUAUGGUAUUAUCAAUAUUUUAUUUUAUUUUAAUUUAUGAAAGUUAUUAUUAAUAUGUUAAAUUAUGGCUUUAUCAAAUAUUUUAAAAUUAUGGUAUAAUCAAUUUAAUAUGUUUAUUAAUGAUUUUUAUAGUAAAAUAAAACAUAAAAUAUCCUACUUAAAAAGUUUAAAAAUGUCUUCAUGUUUUAGUAAAACUGAUAUCUAAUUCACAAAAAAAAUAUAAAAAAUAUAUUUAUGGUUUUUGGUAUAUACUGAAUAAACUAAAAAUCGACAGCAUAUAAACCAAACCAAAGUAAAUAUAAUUUUAAUAGGAUAGCUAUUUUUUACAAACCAAGAUACCAAAAUAGAACCAAAUCCGGAUUAAACAUCUCUUAUUAAAAUGGAAUACAACUAAGCUGCUUAAAAAAUCUCACAAAUAUGGUAUUAGAAGUUAAAGAUUUGGAGAUCUUGACUAACAAGCAAAUACUCACACCAUACUGACAAGAAAAAGGUACAAAUAUAUACAACCUUAUUUUCCAGUACAAGAACCCUCAAACACAAUUCACCAACCCAAUCAAUAACACCUCUUAAAUCUUAACACGUUGAACCCAACGCUUCUUACGGGUCGAGGGUAAUACAUCCAAUCAAAAUAAGAACUUUACACUAAUCUUCGCAGGGUAAUCUUCGUAAGAGCUUAAACCACCCAUUUUUAAAACAUAUAUUAGCAAGUGUUCAAACUUCAAGUUUGUGACUUCAGUAAUAAACAUUACCAAAUGUCUCUUCUUAGUGAUGAUCUUCCUCUUUAAAAUGUUGAUUUUAGUAAUUUUAUAUUUUAUGUAAAAAAUUAUUUUUUUCAUUUUUAUCAAAUUAAAUAAAACGUAGCUUUUACUUUUUUUGUUGACAUAUAUUAUGGUAUUAUCAAUAUUUUAUUUUAUUUUAAUUUAUGAAAGUUAUUAUUAAUAUGUUAAAUUAUGGCUUUAUCAAAUAUUUUAAAAUUAUGGUAUAAUCAAUUUAAUAUGUUUAUUAAUGAUUUUUAUAGUAAAAUAAAACAUAAAAUAUCCUACUUAAAAAGUUUAAAAAUGUCUUCAUGUUUUAGUAAAACUGAUAUCUAAUUCACAAAAAAAAUAUAAAAAAUAUAUUUAUGGUUUUUGGUAUAUACUGAAUAAACUAAAAAUCGACAGCAUAUAAACCAAACCAAAGUAAAUAUAAUUUUAAUAGGAUAGCUAUUCUUUACCUCAGAACAUUUGUGAAAAUAUAAUGAUCAGGUUUGAAACAGUUAAAUACGUACCAAAUGUUUUCAUUACAAGCAGAUCGAGAAAUUCAG